UUGAUAAAGACGCUAAAAACAGAAGCUUCAGUCCCGGUGACACAGUGUUAGUUUUGUUGCCUGUACCUAGUUCGGCUCUACAAGCUCGUUACAGCGGUCCUUAAGUGGUCAAGGAGAAACUAGGUGAUCGAGAUUACAUUGUAGCCACCCCUGACCGUAAACGACGUAACCGAGUGUGUCAUGUAAACAUGUUGAAGCCUUACCUCUGCAGGGAAUCUACUCAUCCGACUCCUGGCAGUGAAGUGCACAACACCGUGCUGGCGCUGUCCAGUGCUGAAGCCGCGUUGAGUUCCCAGGUGACGGAGGAGCUGUCCGGUGCUGGAACCCCCGGGGUGCUGCCUACAGUGGCUGCAGCUGACCUCGAGGACGUGGUGGGUCCGUCCCUAGCUGUGGUCCAAGGCAGACUGCAGAAUUCUGCAAUGUUGUCUAAACUUGACGAGUGUUUUUUGCACCUCACUGAGUCCCACCGUGAGGAUGUGGUCCAGUUAAUUAAAUCGAAUGAUUCAUUGUUUUCUGAUGUGUCCACACAAACUAAUGUCCUUGAGCACGAUAUCGACGUGGGUGACGCUUCUCCGAUUAAGCAGCAUGCUUAUCGGGUAAAUCCGGAGAAGCGUGCUCGCCUACAAAAACAGGUCGACUAUAUGCUGGAGAACGGCAUUGCCGAACAGAGCUCCAGCUCGUGGAGUUCACCGUGUCUCCUGUCAGUGAAGUCCGAUUCAUCUGAUCGUUUUUGUACGGACUUCCGUAAAGUUAAUGGUGUCACUAAGCCCGAUUGUUAUCCACUCCCUCGAAUCGAUGACUGUGUGGAUCAUGUCGGCAGUGCUACUUAUGUGACAAAGCUAGAUCUCCUUAAAGGCUAUUGGCAGGUACCGUUGACUCCGCGCACUAAGGAGAUAACUGCGUUUGUCACUCCAGACGCCUUUUUGCAGUAUACGGUUAUGCCGUUCGGCGUAAGAAAUGCCCCGGCGACUUUUCAGCGUUUGGUCAACACUGUUUUGCAUGGUUUACCUGGUUUUGAGGCUUACCUCGACGAUAUAGUGGUGUAUUCGAGAUCGUGGGUGGACCAUAUUCAGCAGCUAGGGGCAGUGUUUGCAAGGCUACGUGACGCCAAUCUGACCCUUGGCAAAAUGUGAAUUUGGUCAGGCCACUGUCACAUACCUAGGAAAGGUUGUGGGUCAUGGGCAAGUUAGGCCAGUAGAGGCGAAGGUUGAGGCGAUCCUGCGUGAGGGGUUUGGUUGCGUUUAUAAACUUUCCUUUUGUGAUUAACAUUGUGUUCUUUUCGUUUCAGGUACUUUGGCUAUUCCCUCCCCACGCAUGUUUAGAUUGCUGGGUUUUGUUGUUUUAGUUUGGCUGUAGUUGCUGGUACUCCUGUUUUCGCUGUUUUCUUUUGUAGUUAGGAAGUUUAGUACGGGGUGGUGACUGGUCCGAGAGCCCACUGCAGGGUUAGCCACGUUCACCACCCCUCUUUUGUUUCUUUUGGCCAGCAGCUACAGCCCUUUUACUUUCACCAUUAUUUUCAUCUUGGUUGAUUCACGUUAGUUGAAUUAAUUGUUAAUAAAGUUGUUUUUUUCUCCCCCAUUCUCACUUUACCUGCCGUGUCUGUCUAGUUUAUAUGUUGCCGGUCUCUUUGUUUAUUCGAGCCUUGUCAACUUUAAAGAGGCCGUAACAACCUGCACAUGAGGAAAAUCACUCCUGUAGAAUGCAGAUGUUCAGAGGGAGAUGAUGCCACAUCUGGUCCAGCUGAUGGAAGGUCUUGAAGUUCUCUGACUGGCCUCGACUGAAGAUGGUCGUCUCACUGGAUUUAAGCUGCACAAUGAGGGACGUCUGCAGAGACUGAGAAAGAGUCUCACCACAUCCUGACAUGAGGAAAAAGACUUUAUUGAAGACUACAAUGAGAAAAACUAUCAGACAGCAGACGGCUGCAUUUAAGAGAAGAAGACCAUCAAACAUCCACGUCAGCUGAUGGAGGUCCAAGAGUCUCACCGAACAGCCAACCUACAGAGUGAAGACCUCGAAUCUGAUUGGACGGCCUCCUAUUCAGCCACAUGUGUGAACAAAUGCCUCUAAGCUGAU
ensembl:lncRNA